AUGGCGAAGACCACCAUAGCAGCUAGAAAACCAGCAUUGGCUGCCGCCGGCCGCCGCCUUGAUUCAUCCUCCGCCGAACCCCAUCAACCUUUGGAAUCAGAGAGGAUGACGCAACCACAUAGCUGCUGCCUCCUCGCCUCGUGCUGCGGCUGCAAAAAGGUGAAGGGCAACGCUGGCCACCCCAACAACGCAGGCGUUGCAAGGCCGGGGGAGGAUAACUCCGGCCACCUCGGCUGCAAGGUUCUGGUGUGCCCCGGCUCGCCUGCAACCCCUGUGUUUUGCAACAGCACUACCAUGGCUGCGACGGCGGCUGCGGCAGGCAGUGGUUUGUGCAGCAACGACGACAAUUUGCUUCUAUGUCUUGUUGUGACGGUGGGCAGCGACUUCUGCGAUGCUUGCCUGCCUGCAAUGGAGCGCUCGCCGGUGCUUCUUCUCGGCGCUGCAAUGGAGUGCUCGCCGACGCUUCUUCCCGGCGCUGCAAAUGGGGAUCUCAUCGGCUCUGCAAUUAAGGCUCGCCGGAGCUCCCUUUCAACGCUGCAAUGGAGAGCUCACCGGCGCUGCAAUGGAAGCUCGCCGGAGCUCCCUUCCGGCGCUGCAAUGGAGCGCUCAUCAACGGUCUUGGAGCUGCAAUGGAGCGCUUCCCGGAGCUCCCUUCCGGCACUGCAAUGGAGCGCUCGCCGACGCUUUGCAUUGGAGUGCUCACCGGUGGUGUCGGUGCUGCGAUAA
rnacentral:rRNA from 1 species